GACAGAUGCAGAGCUGAACUCUUGGCAUUCAGGUGUGAAACCAAAGUGGAAGUCCCAAACAGAGAGGUUCUUCGGCUGCUCUGGAGCUCUGCAAGGGCUGAAGGUAGAAGUGUUCUCAAGUGGGAGAUAAUCUGACAUGCAAAUAAUCUACAGCACAGAACUGAUAGAAGAUCCACGAUAUGAGAGUCCAAAACCUUGCUCAACUGUUUAUGAAUAACAAGGAAUCCAGAAGCUUUGUCGUAGCAUUCUUGUUAUGCACACACCUCUGCUUUCCAUCUAGAUACCUGAUGUAUUACUUCAGCAGCAAAUUCAACAAGGCCAAGAUGUCUUCAUUUUCCUUCAGAGCAAGAUCUGUAAGAGCAGUGUGAUGAAAGUAUUGGUCUUCUGUGGCCAGCCGGCAAGAACCCAUCAACAGCUGUGAUGAGCAGAGCAGACAUGGGGAGACAGGAGGCAGCUGAAGCCAAAGAGGACCCAUGCCUGGAGCUGUGUGUGUGUGAUUGGAGCAGAGAGAGGCCAGGACCCAAGGAAAUCCCAGCAGCAAGGGAAAAAAACAGAUUGACUCUCAGUGACUCAUUUAGCUCCUGGAUUGGACAGAUCUCUCCCCUGCUGGCAAUUUGGCUGAGCAUCAAUGGACAGAUACCAGGAUGAAUAGCUUAAAAUAAUUAGGGGUUGGGAAUCUGCAAAACUGCUAGCCAUCCAAUUCUUUACUGUGCAAUGCGAGGCACAAAAAAGAAAUUACAUUUAGGUUAUUAAAUAUUAAGUCAGUGGAUUUACCUCCAUUUGGUCCAGAGCAGGAAACUGGCUAAAAUUCAACAUUUAUAUCAUUGUGUUGAUGGUCUGUUUAUCACUGAACAAGUGAGUGCCUUUUGGCAGGUCAAGCUCUUUGACACAUGGGGCAAAUGUGUGCUUAAUUUCUCCCAAACCGAAGAAUUAAUAUAAUAAUAAUUAACACAGAUGAGAACAGAAUUAAAAUCAAGUACAGUCAGGAGUUCAGUUUAAUUCCAAGCUUCUCACAUGCUAGAUGUUCUGGGGCCAGAUUUUUUCCUGUUGAAAGUAGUGAGCAUUUUGCUGUUGGUGCUGAUGGGAGCUGAAGUGGGCCUUGAAUGCAGAGAGACAGGAUUCCCUGUACUUUCUAUUUAAUGUUCCAAACCAGAAGCAACAGGCUCAUUUAGUAUCAGCAAAGGUCAGUUAAUGUUAUAGAGACAUCCUUUGGAGCAAAUCCUCUGCCUUGUAUUUGCAUAUUUAUGAACUAGAGAUUACAACAGACUAUUCCAUUUAUUAGAGCAGCACCGCUAUAGUUAAUAGUCUGUCAGUAUUUCCAUUAUAAACCCCGUUUUUCAGUGUUUUAAUAUCUCAGCCAUUUAAAAUCACAUCAUGAAGCAAGUUGGCCUUAUGUUGUCAGCCAGGUGCAAUUUUUUGUUUUGGAUUAUUGUCAUUAAUGAAAUACCGUUCAUCAUAUAUGCAAAUUAGGCACAGUAUUUCUGUUGGAGGGAAAUAGUAAAGCGUGUAAGAUCAUUGUGGCUUUGUUUUUCUUUAGGAAAGAAGGGAAAAGAGGGAUUUGACCAACCAGAGUCAUGGGUGAAACACACCAGGUGUUUCCAGAGCUACUGUGUCUGCACAAGUUCCAGAAAGCUCAUGGUAAAGCAUCUGCUUUCACCUCUCAGAUUCAAGCCCAUUAAAAGAUUUGAGGAAAACUGUUUGGUGCUGUGGGCAAUGAAGAAGAAAUGCGAUCCAUUUAGCAAAUAAGGAGCAUCAUGCUGGUGUAAAGCUCCCAUGAAGGAGAUAAGAAUCAAGCCAAGUUGGAACAGAGGAGCUGCAAUGCAGGAGCUAGUCCUUCCUGUGCAACAUUUAAGUGAGGAAGAAGAGCUUUCAGAGCUAACGAAGAGUUAACUGGCUACGUUUCAACUGUCACCAUUGUCUUACAUCUACAUAGAGAGCAGGAGAGAGCCAGAGAGGUGUCAUCACAGAUAGAGCUGAACCCAUUGCCAUCAGCGCACAGAACGGGGACAGCCCAGGUGCAACACAAACUGGGUUUUGCAGAUGUGAAGCUUCCCACUCUGCUUCCCAGCCUCUCUGUGUUCCCUGUCUUGGAUCUGCACUGCCUCAGGUGAAGAAGCCCUGCUAGGCAGCAUGGCCUGCAUGCAUGGGCUCAAAGGCUUUGACUGCUGCAGUGUUGGCACGCAACUCACGUUACACCCAGCAGGACCCAGAUGCUGAACUAGGUGUCCGUGCUCACACACGAGCCUUUGCAACAGCAAAUGAAAGUGCUCACAACCAGGCGGUGAAAUGCUUCUUAAGAACAAAUCCCAGAAUGACCAGUGCUGCACACAUGUGUUGCUGCUUCUGACCCUGCACUCCUGCCGGCCUGGGGAGAAGAGGGACCUCAGAGCCAUCAGCUCUGGACAUCAGGGAUUUUGAAGUAAUACUAGAAAAGGUGGCUGAUUCUCCACUCUGUUCUACUGGUUGUAUGCCAGUGAAAUGCUGCUGAAGUCAGUGGAGUUGCACUGCCAUAAAACCCAAUGCAACAGACUGGGGUGGCACAGCAGAGAGAAGUGGAACCUGUUCCUGGACCUUGGGUGAGCGUGAGGACUGCCACCAUCCUCCUGUACUUCCAUGAGAGAUACCACUGACCUGCACCUUUGCCUUGGGUCAACAGUUUAAAGACAACUGCUGCUUGAUGGUGCACACAAAAUGAAUUAUUAGUCUUGGUUUUGGCCUAAGUGUCUGGAGACUGAGACCUUCGCUGGCCCCACGGAGAAGGCCAAGGACUGACAGAAGCACUAGCAAGAGAGAAGUCCCAGCAGGUCAAGGGAAGGGGCACUGCAGACUAAUAAACUCAGUUACUACGAGGAGAACUUUGUUCAACUUCUGAUGCCAGAAAGGACAGCCUGGAUUGGCAGUGUCCUGCUCUCAGGUGGAUGAUUGCUCUUCAGCAUUUGGCCAAGGUCAGACAGGUACUUAGCACCUCUGAAAUGCAAGCUCAAAGCAGGUUGUGUUGAACAUCUAAACUUGGAGAAGUCUUUCUGGAAAGCUGAUGGAAAUCAUGUGCUCAAAUAUUAGCGUGAGGGCGGUCCUAUCCCACCAGCUUGGCUUGCUCAACCUGUCGAAGGCUGAUUCCUGCAGAGCUGUGAGCACUCCUUUCCCUCAGGAACAACGGCUCCCAGAGAGGGGGUGGUGUGAACCCCUGGCAAGCUGACAGCAUGGGGGGGCAAAUUCUCCUGUCCAGUGCUGAGCGUGCUGCUCUUGCUGGCCAGGACACAGAGGAGCCACGAUGUACAGCUCCUCCAGCAAUCAGUGGAACUGUAAUUAACCUGAGGGCAGCCCCAGACCGCUGCGAGCACGGCAGGAUCAAGGCAAGGGGCAGGGGAUGAGCUGGUCGGAGGCUGAUGAAGAUUUGGACCUGCGUUCCAGAAGAGAUGGCUGGGGGGACACGCUUCCCCCUAAGGAGCUGUCGGGUCACACUGACACUGCUGCCUUCUUUUUUCAGCCUGUAUCAGUCACCCAUAUGAGAUGGCUCUUUUCAUACCAUCUUCUCAACACAGGGCUGAGGAGAACGGAGAGCAAGCACAUCCACGAAAAGGGUGGCUGGUUGGGAUCGCAUCCGUGAAGCAACACCCUCAGCAACAAACAGAUUUCAAGUCAACCACGAAUGGCUACAAGCUUGGCAGGGGACCCAAGGCGGUGGCUGGCGGGUUCUGCCAGGCUUGGGGGCAGGAGCACUGUGGCUUCCCGGGAAUGUCACGGGCAAACAAUCACCAGCAAACCCUGGGUGCACACAGAGCAGUUCAGAACAUAGAACCUUGCAAGAAGCCUCAUACUUGACAUAUAACUACCAGAAAGGAAGAAAAAAGUGGAACUUUUUGGCCAUCAGGGAGAAGGAAAAACCUGGGUUAACUCUUGACAUUUACUGUAAAUGAGAAGCUAGAAGCAUUUAAACAAAACACAAUUUGUUUUAACUAAGCAUUUCUGUUAUGCCGGGAAGGUAUGGGGCUUUUUUGUUUUUUUAAUUACUGAAUGUUGAAAUAGAACACCUCCUUGAAGCAUUCAUGUGCAUCAGUCUAUCAAACCAUUUACUCAAAUUAAAUGUGUAAUCCUUCAAAA